rnacentral:misc_RNA from 1 species
UUGAGGAAUGGGAGCGCGCCGACAUAGAUGAUUGGAGAAGCGUUGCAGCUACUCAGGCCACAGCGCGGCCCACUCGACCCAGCAACUAUUGGCGGCGUGCGGCGAGACGUAGCACAGUGGGACAAAUGGGUCUUUUUGUGGACAAAAAUCGCUAGACGGCGUAAUUCUUAAGGGGUAACACUACUGUAGAAUUUUCAGAAAAUAAAUUUUUUUUUAUUGGCUUAAAAAAUGCUUUGAACCUUCUAAAAUAUGAGGCAAAAAGUCUAAUCCCUGAAAAAAAAUUUGUUCUAUGGAAUUCCGAGCUCCUCCCCUAGCGCCUCGAAUGACCCGAAACGGCCUAUCUGCGCCAACUUGAUACCCGCUGAGAAAUAAUUCUGAGGUGCAAAAGAAAGAAUGCAUUGAUCACGUGCAGAAUAGAAUGGGGACCCGAUUGAGAAAUUAAAAAAAAAAGGUAAAAGGCGGAAAUCGGUGGAAAAGGAAGUUUUCAAGGCAAUUAAACCGAUUUAUGAGGAGCUGAGCCGAGAAGAAUUAUUAAACCGUUGCUUAGGAGGUUAUACACAAAAUAGCAAUGAAAGUUUCAAUGCUGCAGUUUGGAAUUUGGCUCUAAAAUCGUAUUCCAGCGGCAACAAAGUCUUGAACAUAGCGACAGAUAUUGCUGUGUGUGUUUUUAAUGAUGGUGUGACGAAUAUUCUACAGAUUAUGAAAGUUAUGGAGAUGGACAUUGGUAUCUAGUCAUACAAUUUUUGCAUGGAAGCCGAUGCUAACCGCAUAAAGUACGCUGAGCUGUCCUUGUCAGAUGCGGCAAAGAAGGCACGUUCCAACUUAAAAUCGGCCAGGAAACAAACUGAGGAGGAAAAUUUGAACUUGGAAGGGCAACUUUAUCUUAGAAUAGCAGAUUAAUGAUUCAAAUUGGCACCAGUUAUAGUGCGUGCCGCAGAUCGCCUCAAAUUCAACAUGCCUCGGGAGAAUUGCUGCAGUGUCGCCAUUUUGUAAUAUUUUCCUACAAAAAUUUUUUAUAAUAUACUUAAAUAUAUGCUCAAUAACUACCCCAAGUAUUAUUUCUUUAUCACCUUUCCUUCCGCCCAAAAAAAAUUGUCAAAAAAACGCUUUCUUAGUCCGUUACAGUAGUGUUACCUCUUAACCGUUUUCAUGCUUUUAUUUUUAAUUUACUUGCGAUGAAUUGCUCUACAAUCGUAUCGAGCCCAUUUUUUAAAUUAGGCCCUCAAUUCAAAAUGGCGGACGUGCAAAUUUGUCAAAUGUAUAAAACCUGUAAAAUAUCGAAUAUUUUUGGAUCGGACAAAGUUUAUACAGGCUUUAAGGCCUCCGAGAUACAUAUGUAAGAUCGAAAUUCUCAGUUUUUGUCAGUGGAGAGGAUCUGCAGUGGCCCGAUAUAUUUUAUACCUGCCUGAUAUCCCCACAUUAUCAAUGU